GGGGCUUUGUGGAGCAGCUGGUGCAGCCUUGCUUUCCGAGGGCGGCGUGCAGCCACAGUGCCCGCUGCGGGUGCUGGGGAAUGGCGCCUUACAGGCUGCCCACCUGCCUCCUCAGGGUGGAAGGCGGGGCUUGGGUGUGAGCGUGCUGAAUCAGAACUUUCCUGGAAAGUCGCCACUUGGUGUGGUCAGAGGAUCACUGAACAACUGCACAGAGCCUGUGCUUAAGAUGGCAGGAUCGCAAGACAGAGCAACUGGAGCAAGUCCUCAUUAAGAAGAGCCGCCCGAUGCAUUUGGACUGCGAUGUGUUACGCCCAUGAGAUUUCAGGGUUAAUUUGUUACCUGGCCGUGGCCUAUCCUCUUCCAGCAGAUACAGAGGCUACUGCAGUUUGCAACUUUGCAGAUACCAGCAGAGGAAGAAAAACCUGGGAGACUGCUGCUAACCUAAUGUGGAGACUUGACUUAAACUUCAGCCAGACAAAGGCGGAAUCUUAAUAUGGAGGGGCCUGGCUCUGCAGGGAGGUCACCUGGGCUGGCUGGAUUUCAAUCCAGUUACACAGCAAAAAAGUUACAACCCAAGCUUUGGCGAUGCUGAGCCUUCUACUCUCAGGGAUUCCAAAGCAUUUGAUAAACUCUUUCUUUGUUCCAUUGUUUACUGACUUCCUAGUGCUUGUCUUGUUCUGCAGUUAUUUAUUUAUUUUUAUUUAUUAGUUUUUACUUAUGAUCUACCCCUCUCUCCCAUCUCCCCGCAACCUGAAGGUAAGGUGCAGGAAGUUAUGGCCUUUGCUUUGUAUGCCAUUACAUUCCCCCUCCCCAGGGAAGGGGUUAGCAUGAUGGUAGGAACUGUUCCCUCUUGGUGACAGAUAAGUGACUGGAGCAGAAUCCACUUCUGCUGAGAAGCUCUGGAUGACCACGGAUAAGCAGGAAGGCAUGUGACAUAUUGGCAAGUGAGUCAGACAGAAAGAGAGACGUGGGAUCGAGUCCUGGCAUUGCCCUUUCUAGCUAUUGUGUCCUUGGACAGGUAAUUUAGCUUCCCUGAGUCUGUUUUCUCAUCUGAAAAAUGAAGAUAGUAAUAAUUAUCCUCGUGGGGCUAUUGAAAAAGUUAAAAUAAUACAAGCAAAGCAUUUAACAUAGGGUUUACAUUAUAAUAUUAUAAUUAUACAUAUAAUUAUACAUUAAU
rnacentral:lncRNA from 1 species